ACCCCAGACUCCUACGGGAGGCAGCAGUCGGGAAUAUUGCGCAAUGGAGGAAACUCUGACGCAGUGACGCCGCGUAUAGGAAGAAGGUUUUCGGAUUGUAAACUAUUGUCGUGAGGGAAGAAAUUGACAGUACCUCAGGAGGAAGCUCCGGCUAACUACGUGCCAGCGGCCGCGGUAAUACGUAGGGAGCAAGCGUUGUCCGGAAUUACUGGGUGUAAAGGGAGCGUAGGCGGGGAUGCAAGUUGGGUGUCAAAACUACCGGCUCAACCGAUAGUCGCACUCAAAACUGCAGCUCUUGAGUGAAGUAGAGGCAGGCGGAAUUCCUAGUGUAGCGGGGAAAUGCGUAGAUAUUAGGAGGAACACCAGUGGCGAAGGCGGCCUGCUGGGCUUUUACUGACGCUGAGGCUCGAAAGUGUGGGGAGCAAACAGGAUUAGAUACCCGCGUAC
rnacentral:rRNA from 1 species